rnacentral:tRNA from 1 species
GGUUGUGGCUCAGUGGUAGAGCCCUUGCCUAGCACGCAAGAGGUGCUGGGUUUGAUCCUCAGCACCA